rnacentral:rRNA from 1 species
UACGUAGGGUGCAAGCGUUAAUCGGAAUUACUGGGCGUAAAGCGUGCGCAGGCGGUUUUGUAAGUCAGAUGUGAAAUCCCCGGGCUUAACCUGGGAACUGCGUUUGAAACUACAAGGCUAGAGUGUGGCAGAGGGGGUGGAAUUCCGACGGUGUAGCAGGUGAAAUGCGUAGAGAUGUGGAGGAACACCGAUGGCGAAGGCAGCCCCUGG